GAUGAACGCUGGCGGCGUGCCUAAUACAUGCAAGUCGAGCGAACAGACGAGGAGCUUGCUCCUCUGACGUUAGCGGCGGACGGGUGAGUAACACGUGGAUAACCUACCUAUAAGACUGGGAUAACUUCGGGAAACCGGAGCUAAUACCGGAUAACAUGUUGAACCGCAUGGUUCAACAGUGAAAGACGGUUUUGCUGUCACUUAUAGAUGGAUCCGCGCCGCAUUAGCUAGUUGGUAAGGUAACGGCUUACCAAGGCAACGAUGCGUAACCGACCUGAGAGGGUGAUCGGCCACACUGGAACUGAGACACGGUCCAGACUCCUACGGGAGGCAGCAGUAGGGAAUCUUCCGCAAUGGGCGAAAGCCUGACGGAGCAACACCGCGUGAGUGAAGAAGGUCUUCGGAUCGUAAAACUCUGUUAUUAGGGAAGAACAAAUGUGUAAGUAACUAUGCACGUCUUGACGGUACCUAAUCAGAAAGCCACGGCUAACUACGUG
rnacentral:rRNA from 1 species